rnacentral:lncRNA from 1 species
AUACAUGAAUAUGCCGUGCGGUGUACAGGAGUAAGUAAAAGUUCUUAAUAAGAAAAUUAAAUACACAAUAUUUAUGUCUGUGUGUCUAGGACCAGUUUUCCCGACAUAAUUGGCAUCUACAUCAUGAACUCUUUUUGUCAAAUUUCGGUAAAGUAACUAGAAACUUUCAUUUUAUAGACAUAGAUACAUAUUAUUUUUUUUCUGAGUCCCUUAAAAUGUACAUGCAUAUUCAUAAAAAUAGGUUCUAUAUAACUUUACACAAUGUCAUAUGAAAAUGAUUAAUAAGACAGUGUAUUAGCAAUAUUUU